AAGAGCUCAAAAAUAACCGAUGCAUUGUUAGAAAAAGAAAUAAAGACACAACAGGGAAGACUUAUCAAAGAAAUACUUUGCUGGGGAAAAGCAAUCAUCAAAAAGGGGAAAACCCAACACCAACAGGAGAGGAAUAUUACCUAACUAUCAACUGACCGAUAGCUUAACAAAGGUAAUAAACCAAAGGGAAUGAUUACCAACUACCAGCCAAAUGAUACUUAACAAAGGUAACCAAUCAUAGGUAAAAGGAAU
rnacentral:lncRNA from 1 species